rnacentral:piRNA from 1 species
UGAUAUUUAAUCUGUUGUUGGGACUGGGC